rnacentral:tRNA from 1 species
AAAAAAUUAGUUAAAGUUUAUAACAUUAGUUUGUCAAACUAAAAUUAUUAAGUUAUUAAUAUUUUUUA